AAAAUAAGUAAGUGAAAGAAAGGCCAAAUAGCAUUAUUCAUUUGCCUUAGGUUUACAGGGUCACAGAUUCAUUAGCUUAAUUACAACCUCAUUUGGAUGCCAAAGAAUGAGCAAGAGCAAUCAGUAUUGCUACCUGGCUCUUGCUUCUUCUUCCUGGGUUUGUUUUGUUUUUCAGAGAAACAGGGAAGGGAGGACAUUUUCUAAUAUAAUUGUUUAUAGGGACAAAUUGUUAAAAUAUGAUGUGUGUGCAUUUUGCAAGUUUGACUUGUGUAAAAUAGAUUACCUCUCCUGUCUUCUUUCCUUCCCACACUGUAUACCAUCCUGCCUCAUGUCAACCCAAUGAAAUUGAUUCCAUUAUUUUUCCUCUUUCUUAUUUCCAAACCUCAUAGGCUAUCUUGCCUAUGAACAGUUGAAAGUUUUGACUUCUUUGGACUCAAUUGAAUUCACUAAAACAAUGAAUUUUAAUAAUUUUUUUCCAAAUUCUUAUUCCCAUUGCCUUUAAAAGUCCUUUAGAGGCAGGUUGUAUAAUCAUAAUAGCCUCCUCUGAACUGCCUUGAGUUGUUUUUCUUUUCUGCUUUUCUGUCACUUAUGUAAAGAGUACAUGUAUUUACAUAAACCUUCUCUGUCCCGGCCUAUUUCAAAAUAAAGUGGAAAUAAAAAUCUUUAGCUCAAUCUUACAGAAAUUUAUAUUAUCUACCCCAGAGUUUGAAGAUAAGGCCAUCUCCUUACACUAUAAUUGUAAUAUAGUGAACUUAAAGUGUAUCAAUCCUUUAUCAAACUUGUUUAUUCAUUAGCUUUUUCAGUCUCCAGUAGGCCCAUUUUACAAUUUAUUAUUAUUCCUCCUAGAAGGGCUUAUCAUUCAAAUAGCACACCACUAGUUACAGACUAUCCUUGAUCCAUUUCAUCUUUUUUGUAUAUUACCCCCAUUACAAAUUUCUACUUCUAUAUAACACCCUACCCACUUCCCCUCAGCCUUGCAGACAGCCUGCAAACUGUCUAAAUUUCUCCCAUAAAAAUAUGUAGAACAUCUGUUUCCUCUAGACAGCAUUUAUAUAGAUUUGGAAGAGAGUUCUCUAAACAUAUACCAAAGAGUAUGCAGCCUAACCUCGAAAAGUUAACAAUAAGUGAGCAUCAUGAUGGAGAGAGGGAAUUCACAGUGGAUGGAAGACACCUUGGAAUUAUUAAUAUGAUUGGGGACCUGGUCUUGGUGCUGUCUCUGCCACUGCCUAGGAGCAUGACUUUGAACAUGCCACCAGAUGACCUCCAAGUUCUCUUCCAAAACUAAAUUUCAAAGGUAAUUUUAGAGAAGUUCAUUUGUAUGGGAGGUUAGCAGAAAGAUACAGGAGGACCAUGGCCUCUGCUAACAUAACCCAACUAAUUUGGUAAUAAUUCUUGAUAUCAUGUCUUUGAGAGUAAGCCAUCUGGUAUCAAGUGAAUUGAAUUCAAUACCUAUUCAUGUUCCUUUAAAAAUAUAUAGGACAUACAGUUACAUUUGCAAGCCAAGUGGAAAAAUGUUACUAUUUUUGUAAUUUUCUAUAACUACAAUAUUUCCCUUUAAGAGAGAGUCUCAGAUAAUACAAAUCCUUUAUUUUUAGAUCCCUGGAAGAUAAAGAUGUUCUUAAACCAUUCUCUGUAAUUCAAUUAAGGAACAGCCAUGCAACACCCCAUCAUGGGUAGAAAAGCCAAUCUCUAGGCAGCAUCUAAGCCCAAAUGUUGUUGCAGUGCCCUCCUCAGUCUUGGACCCCACACUGUCUUGUUUCCUGAAAGUAGAGUAGCAGAUAUUUUUGAGCUCUCAGGCAAGAAGCAGCUUUCCAUCUAUAAUAGUUGGAAAGAUCCAAGGUCUUUAGAACAUCUGUUAUCCACUCUCCUUGCUCAAGUCCUUCCACCCCGGCUUACCUAGUUAACUACUUACCUAGUUAACUACUUACCUAGUUAAAUCCACUGGUGUUAGGCACAGCCAUGACAAAACUGACAGUUUAUUAAUUUGUGAUUAGCAUUCUAGCUAUUCAUGUUCUUCAAGCAUGCAUGAAGAAUUCCGGUCUCUGAACAUUGUCCUCAAUACAACUUCUGUAAACAGAUGUUCUUAACUUUUUCUUCUUUGUUGAAAGAUACCUUCCAACUCUAAACUUUCAUGAUUUUCCUGAGUAUUUCCUGGCCAUUCAAGCUUUUUCCACUCUACUAAGCUGUCUAGAUUUUAUCCAUUUUACCUUGAUGAUCCAGAUUUUGGGCAGUUCAAAAAUGAGUAGAGAGUAAGGGGGAAGAGAACUAUUCCCACUCCCAACAGAUAAAUAUCAUGCUCAGUAGACACUCUGUGUCCAGUUUUGUUUUCUGCUUUUUCCAUCUGUUCCACCCACUUGCUUACCCAUACAUAAAAGCCUUUCCUUAGUCUCUUGAGAAAAUAUAUAGAAGGAAAGUUUGCACAGCAGCAAAAUAGCCUGAAAUGUGCUCCAGUUCUUUUUGGUUAACAUUAUUGUUUAGACCAUAUGACCCAAUUUGCCUCAGACAGUCUCAGUGUGUAAUUAUUAAUAAAACUCCUUUUCACUCUCAAAAUUGUCCAUGUGAAUAAUAAAUGAUACGACCACCAUAAUUAUGGGAUCUCAGCCACCUGAAGGGUGGGGAAAUAUUAAUAAAUGUAACAUUAACACACUACAGAAAACAUGUCUUGGCUCCCUACAAAUCAUUUAAGUCUGGCCCAGUCUUCUCCACCACUCGUUCAUACUCACCUUAUUUCUCCAUGAGUUCCUUAAUUAGCUGCAAGCAAGCUCAUCCUCAGGUCUUCCUUAUCCUUCCACUCCAACAUCCACACAUCAUCCCAAAAUGUCCUCACUGCUGUGCUUGAAGUUUUACAUUUUAUUUCCACUGAUUAGAUAUUUUUCUUCCUAGCCCCAUCUCAAUCGUGGUUUAUGAAUCAGGCCAACAUCCUCAAAAAUGCUGUCCAUGAGCACCCUGCCUCAUUCUGUUCACUCUCCUGUUAACACUCCCUCAAUUCUUGUGGUCACUUUAUUCAAUAAUAAUAGACAGUUUAUUUGCACAUUUCUAGUUUUGCAAAGAGAUAUUCUGCCUCCCUUUGUGAGGUCCUUAAAAGCAAACACCCCAUUUUCUAAUUCUUUUGUAUUGUCCAAAGCAACUAUUGUUCUGCCCAUGGCAGGGUCUAUAAAUGCUGAUUAGAUCACCUACAGUGGGAAAGGCAGCAAAAGACAAACACUUUUUCAUAACAGGCAAUAUUUCAGGAUUAUAGAUAAUACCUUGUGGGACAGAUGACCUCCUCUCUCAAAUUAUUUUAGUCCCAUAGAGCCUCUAUCUACAACCUCUCAAAGAAUAAAAAAUGCAGUCAAAGGUACAGUUGAAUCCAGGUUUGUGUCUUGCAAAGUGGUCAUUAAGAUUUUUUUCUACUGGGAUUUUCCAAGCAGACUGAAUCCUGAUAAUACCACCAAUCUAGAUUCUACCAGUUCUAGAAGAAUUGAAUAUUCCUUGCUAAUUACCGCUGCUUUUCCUUUAUGGAAAAAGGAAAGUUUUCUUUUAUAGUUUUUUCCCCUGUUUAUCAUUGUUUGCCUUAUUAAUGGCCUUUUAAAUCUAGGUUCUACAGGGUAUUUAUUCUUGAAGCUGGGGCUACACUGUAUUAUUGAUGGAACAUUCCCAUGUGAAUUCUAAUACUCCCAGAAGGUACUGCACAACAAAUCCUAUUUCUGCCAAGAUAUAAAUAGAAGAUUUAGAACUAUAUAAGAGGGAUGGACAGUUCUUGACAUUCACCACUGCUUCUCAAGAGUGCAUAAAAUAUAAUAGAUGUACAAGGAAAUGCAUUUUCUGCCUCCACCCCCUUUUUUCAAUUAUUAACUUUCCAGUUGUCCUGUUAAAUAAUUUACUAAUUUGCAUAAAAGAAAUAUAUAAUUUGCAAGCCUUACCUCAGAGUGGCAACCAGCCAUCCCAGUUUACUAGAUAACGUAUUUUUCUACCUGAUACUCCUCAAAUAAAUUGAAUUGCAGUGUAUCUGCUUUUUCUUUUUUUAAGCUAAUUAAUUCAUUGUUGAUCUGUUUGUUAGAUCUUUUUAAAAUACUCACUGGAUAAAGCUUGAAAUUUUACAACAAUGCCCCUGAGACAAUUUUAGGGAAGUCCUUUGAUUAUUCUAACUUAACUUCAGUGUCAUGGAAAACAGAAUUAUAUAUCCAAGUGUUCUUUCAUAUUCAGAACAUCCAGUACUCUUCCAAGAAGGGAAUGUUCAUGAUUAUAUACACAUAUAUUUAUUGACUGUGUUGCUCAGCUUCUUAUCUCAAGGAGAGUCAGUAACUCUUUUUCUUGAUAAAAACUACCAUGUCAGCCAAGCACGGUGGUUCACACCUGUAAUCCCAGCACUUUGGGAGGCUGAGGUGGGCUGAUUUCUUGAGCCCAUGAGCUCAAGACCAGCCAGGACAACGUGGUGAAGCCCCGUUUCUACUUAAAAUACAAAAAUUAGCCAGGCAUGGUGGCGCGUGCCUGUAGUCUCAGCUACUCGGAGGGCUGAGGUGGGAGGAUCACUUGAGCCCGGGUGGCUGAGGCUGCAGUGAGCUGAGAUCGUGCCACUGUACUCCAGCCUGGGUGACAGAGUGAGACACUGCCUAAAUAAAGGAAAAAAAAAAAAAAAAAAAAAACUACCACGUGGCAUUAUACAAAGCCAAGAUUUCACAACAUUUUUGAAAAUUCCAAAUGACUUACAUGUUUACAAGGACCAAAAACUUUUUGAUAUUUUAAAAUAAGCUUUAUCCUUUUUAACCACCAUGCAGCAUGCUGUGCCAUCAUGAUGGAAGCCUGAUGGCUAAUGUGAAAUAAUGUUGGCAUGUCAUUUAAAAGGUUAACAGACAUGAAAAUUGGGAAGUUUAAUAUUGUUUAAUACAAAUAAAAUUGUUUUUGAAAGAAAGGCAUCUGUGUUGAGCGUGGCUUGCUUGAAAACUUCUCCUGUCUAUCAUCUCUGAACAUUAUUUUGCUCCUCUUGACUUUACUCAAGGGGCCUAAUCCUACAGUGAUUCAGGAGGUUUGAGAAAGCAGGACUCAUGAGACUAAAAAUUAGGAAACUACUAUCCUGCCAGCAAUGGGACACCUCUUUGGCUACCACCUCACCUAAAACUUCAUUGAAUCAGAAAAUUAGCUGAACUUUCCACACCAGUCUCCUGCAAUUUUAAUUCAUAGCAUCCUGUACUAAAUAGCUGGGGCUUUCAAAAGCAGGUGCUACGUAUAUACAGAAAGAAAUACAUACCUUCUGUUGCCUCUCAAAAUCCGUUAUGCUAAACUCACCAAAUACGUUACAUGUUAAAUGUUUCAUUCCUUGUGUUUUUAGAUCUCCAGUUACCAAUUUGCUAUCUAUCCUCCUACCAAACAUUAUUUAACCAACUCAUAUCCUGAUUGGUAUUACAAUUCUUGUAAAUAAAAGAAUCCUUUUCUCCCUCUUUAUUUUUACCAAGUAGACUUCUUUCAUUGCAAAUAAACAUAAAUUACAAUAUUUUAAGGCUCUUUGACAUAAGCAUUUGCUUUCUUACCUAAGCAGGUAAUACUUUUGUAUACCUACCAGACACUAAAGAAGCUAAAUGUCAAGAGUGAGUAUUUCAGUAAAACCUGUAGAAAUUUUAAUGAAAUGGGACAGGUUUAAAAAAAUGCCAAGAAAGGAAAAGGUGGACUCCUUACUUUUAUAUUUCAAGUUUUCUAUUUUGUAUCAAUAUAUGCUGCAUUUUCUGAUUGAAAUUGCUGUUCUGUCUAAUGAAACUUGUGAUUUUCUGUAGUUGCUUUUUACAUUUGAAAGCAAACUUUCAUACUGUGUGUGCUUAACUGUACCCCUUCUGUUAGGGAUUUGAUUAAAAUACUCUAACCGUUUCAUUAAUUCCUUUUUAUGUGCUUAAUGUAUGUGACAUUUAUGGCUUUGUUAUCUCAAAAGCUAUCUGUGGACAAAAUCCAUGAAGCCUGUUGACUGUGAUUUAUACACGUGAAAGAAAAAAACCAAUUUCCUCCUAAGCAGUGAAUCAGUGAAUAAGAAACUGUUCAGUGGCCUCUGAUUCCUGACCCUUUUACCCUUCAUGGCCUUUUUUCUAUUCUUAAUUAUUCCUUGAGUAAUUGUGUGUUCUUGUAAAAUGCAAAAUCAAUUUACAUGCAAUCAGGUAUGGACACAAGAAAUGCUUGUGCUCUCGAUUUCAGGACUCACAGAUACCAUAACAGUCACGGGACUGUAGUUCACUCAGUAUUUUUUGUUAAUAAUGUGGCUUUGCUAUAAAAUAACUUGGUGUUUCCUUUGCUUUGGUACUACAAGAUUUUAAAUGUUGCAGCAAAUGAAAGAAUGAAAACACAUUUGAAAGCUGGUGUCAAAAAUCAUCAGCUGUACUUAUAAAAGUUGUUGUGCAGCUUCUGAAAUGUAGUUUAUUGCUGUAAAUAUGUACAAUUUAUGUUAGCUCGUUUAUUCUGAAAACACAAAUAAAACUUUUUUUUAAAUUACAAAUGCCUACAUAUAAAAAGCUUACUUUGUACUACGUUUUAAAACAUGCAAGAUUUCAGGCAUAUCUUUUUAUAAUCCUUAAAAAUGUUUAGAAUUUUGAAUCUAUCAUUUGAGAACUUUUAUUACAAAAUUUAAUACAAAGCUACAUCCCUUUAUUUGGAAGAAAUUCAUUUCAGGAUUACUCAACAAUCAAAAAAAAAAAAAAAGAUACCAGCACAUUUCCAGGAGCUUGUGUCUGUACCACUUUGAUUUUUUUAAAUAUUAUUUAAGAUGACAACAUGCCUUACAAACACUUAAACAUAUGGUGUGUUUAUACUAGAAAAGAAGAAAUGAACAGUCUCCUUGUAUUCAAAAAUAAUGCCUAAAACUGACUUAUUGGCAUCCCUUUGUGAGGUGUAUUAUGUCAAACUUCUUUGAAAAUCUCCACUGUAAAUAUGAAUAUUAGAGUUGGCCUAUUUGUCAGACUUUCCUAAUUUGAAGACCUCCAACUUCCAAAUUAAUUCUCUCCCUUGAGAAAGAAUGUGUUGACAAUAAAACAAUGAAGAGACC
ensembl:lncRNA novel transcript, overlapping GABRB1